rnacentral:lncRNA from 1 species
GACUACAAGCGCCCGCCACCACGCCCGGUUAAUUUUUCCUAUUUUUUAGUAGAAACGCGGUUUCACCCUGUCAGCCUGGAUGGCCUCGAUAUCCUGACCUCAUGAUCCACCCGCCUCAGCCUCCCAAAGUGCUGGGAUUACAGGCGUGAGCCACCCUGCCCAGCCUUUUCAAAGCCUUUAAUAAGAAAAUGUUUCCUUGACAGAAAGCCUGGAAUCUACCUUUCUUAGACUCACUUACUAGCAGUUACUGGUUUAGGUUUUGCCAGUGAGAAACUCGUGUGUGAGACUUGGAAGGUGAACAAGAAGAAGAAGCCAUUGAUCUUCAGUGGGAGCUGCAGGCAGCUAUAUGGGCAUUGGAGAUGGCAGUGAACACAUGUUAAGUACUGUCAGUAGAGGAUGCAGGAGAGACAUUGAGAGAGGAUGAAGGAUUCUUCUAAUUCUGUACACCUGCCAAAGUCUCACCUCAGCUGCCUGCCUAGAAAGGCUGCUUCCCAUGACCCUCUCUACCUGAAGACCACAUGUUCUAAUUCUCAUGCAAAAGCCCCAUCCUCACUCCCUCUUUAUACAUUCACUUAUGAACUGUGGCUCUCUGCCACCUCAUUUCCUGCUUGCCCAGCGACCAUGGACCAGCUCUGAUCUGAGUGUCCUAGGAAACUUCUCUGGAGGUUGCAACUACACCUUCUCCAACAAGACCUGAACCCCACCUUGGAAUCCCCACUUCAACCUUGUCCUUCAUUGCAUCAUUUCCCUGAGCCCUAGGCUAACCAGCAGAGUUCUCUUUACAUCCUUAUAUUUACUUCCCUGCCAUAUUUAAUAAUUCUUUACAUUAAAAAGUUCCUGUUCAAAUUACUAUGAUUUCUUUUUCCUGAUUGAAUUUAGAUGGAUAUAUCCUCUUCAUAAUAAAUUCCAUUUCUCUUGGACUAAUUUGAAUGAAUGUCUGUUUCUUUUGAUCACGAAAACUGGCUACAAAUAGGCAGGACACAACAACUGAGUUUCCUCUGUUUGAGAUUCUUGCCCUUGUCCUUUGACUCUCACAGAAUUUUAUGAAAUUGACCUCAGUGCCUACAACUGACUGCACAUGACAAAAUGCAGAACACUUAGAUUUGAUGAACACAAGGCUUGACAUAUUUGUCAAUAGUACCAGGAAUAGUUUUGCAUACUAUAAUAUUUAACAGCCACAGGAGAA